rnacentral:snoRNA from 1 species
ACCUCCCACAAAGGCGUGUCUUUACUUUCCAUGUAUAGACACGUAAGACCUGGAGGAAGAUCACAGGGAAGAAGGCCUAACAAUG